rnacentral:rRNA from 1 species
UAGGGAAUUUUCGUCAAUGGGCGCAAGCCUGAACGAGCAAUGCCGCGUGAACGAGGAAGGUCUUCGGAUCAUAAAGUUCUGUUGAGAGGGAAAAAGGGUCACCAGAGGAAAUGCUGGUGAAGUGAUAUUACCUUUCGAGGAAGUCACGGCUAACUACGUGCC